CCUGGGGACAAAAGAAGGGAUUGACUGUUUUAGCUAUGAAAAGGGGACACAAGACCCAGCAGGAGAGCAGGACACAGGGGCACGAAGCAGGACACUGAGACCAACAGGAGAGCACUAGAAGGACAUGGAGAGAAUGAAAGCACACGAGGGUGGACGCAGAACACAACAGACGGAACGGAACAGGCAGAGGAGCAGACCGAGAGGAGCAGACAGAGAGACACAGAGACCGGGAUUCCAGUGAGAGUACACCGAGGAAAACUCAAACACCGAUCGCUAGCGGCAACAGUGGGAGAAGGUGAAACUUCUCCCUUCUGCGCUAUGCCCGAGGAGAGGAGCCAAGCGACAAGAAGCUGGUUGCCUUCGGAGACCUGUGUACUGUCAUUUUAACCUCCCAUUCCUGUUCUGCUGUACCAUUUUAGCUUGAUUUUAGUUGGUUGUGCUUUUGCUUUUAAAUUCUUUUAAGGAGGAA